rnacentral:rRNA from 1 species
ACUUCUUUGUAGGGUAGUGGCCUACAAAGGUCAUGACGAGUAACGGGGAAUUAGGGUUUGAUUCCGGAGAGAAAGCCUUAGAGUCGGCUUUCACUUCUAAGGAAGGCAGCAGGCGCGUAAAUUAACCAAUGAGGACUUCUUGAGUUAGUGACGAAACAUAGCGGAUGAGGACCAAAUGGUCUUUUUACUGCAAUGACCGGUAUUUAAACCAACCGGUGAGGAACAAGUGGAGGGCAAGUCUGGUGCCAGCAGCCGCGGUAAUACCAGCUCCACUAGCGUAUGUUAAAGUUGUUGUCGUUAAAACGUUCGUAGUUUGCUUUUGGGAAGUAAUGCAACUGGUCCUCAGACUAUGUCUGUGUGUAUCGGAUUCAUGUUCCUUCUUCGUGAAGGCUCUGUGCGCUCUUUACUUAGUGUGCAGUAUGUCUUUGUGACUUUCUCCGUGAAGAAAUCGGAGUGUUCAAAGCAGGUUUAUGCCUUGUACGCUUUUGCACUGGAAUGAUCAUCCAAGAUCGCUCUUCUGUCUUGGUGGAUUUGCAGAAUUGGCGAUAAUGAAUAAUAGGAGCAGUCGGGGCCAUCGGUACUGGGACGUGAUUGGUGAAAUAAGAUGAUCGUCUCAUGACCAACUUAUGCGAAAGCAUUUGGCAAGGAUGUUUUCAUUAAUCAGCGAACGAAAGUUUGGGGAGAGAAGGCGAUUAGACACCACCGUAUUCCAAACCAUAAACUAUGCCGACUAGGGAUUGGAGAAGAAACUAGUCACAACCUCUUCAGAACCUAAUGGGAAACCAAAGUGUUUGGGCUCGAGGGGGAGUAUGGUCGCAAGGCUGAAACUUAAAGGAAUUGACGGAAGGGCACCACCAGGAGUGGAGCUUGCGGCUUAAUUUGACCCAACACGGGGAAACUUACCAGGGCCAGACAGAAGUAUGAUUGACAGAUUGAUAGCUCUUUCAUGAUUUUUUGGAUGGUGGUGCAUGGCCGUUACCAGUUCGUGGAGUGAUUUGUCUGCAUUAUUGCGAUAACGAACGAGACCUCCGCAAAAAACUAGUGUUCGGAUCUUUGGAUCCGUGCUCUUCUUUUUUGGACCAAGCAUUUAAGUGCUGGGAAGUUGGAGGCUAUGACAGGUCUGUGAUGCCCUUAGAUGUUCUGGGAUGCACGUGUGCUACACUGAUGGAGGCAACGAGUUGAAGUUGUUCGACAGGACUGCUUAAUCUUUUAAACUCUAUUGUGAUGGGGAUUGCGGUUUGUAAUUUUUCCGCAUGAACGAGGAAUUCCUUGUAGAUGCAGUUCAUCAGACUGCGUCGAAUCUGUCCCUGCCCUUUGUACACACCGCCCGUCGCUCCAACCGAUUGAAUUUGCUGGCGGGCUAUCGGGAGGUUCAAGUUUGCUUUGCUUACCUGAUCCGAACCUUCGCAAGUCAUCAAAUUUAGAGAUUGGAGAAGUCGUAACAAGGUU